GCUCUCGUCGUUCAACGGAUAGGACACAGCCUUGCGGAGGCUGUAAUCGUGGUUCGAUUCCACGCGAGAGCA
rnacentral:tRNA from 1 species